UACGUAGGGUGCAAGCGUUGUCCGGAAUUACUGGGCGUAAAGAGCUCGUAGGUGGUUUGUCGCGUUGUUCGUGAAAACUCACAGCUCAACUGUGGGCGUGCGGGCGAUACGGGCAGACUGGAGUACUGCAGGGGAGACUGGAAUUCCUGGUGUAGCGGUGGAAUGCGCAGAUAUCAGGAGGAACACCGGUGGCGAAGGCGGGGUCUCUGGGCAGUAACUGACGCUGAGGAGCGAAAGCGUGGGGAGCAAACGGG
rnacentral:rRNA from 1 species